AAAAAAAAAAAAAAAAAAAAAAAAAAAAAACAUCGUCUGCAUCAUUAUCUG
rnacentral:ribozyme from 1 species